CUGGAAAAAAGUGCAGUCCUUUUUUCUCUGGGUCAGGAAUGAGGUCCUGUCCCAAGGGGAGGAGUUUAGGUAUCUCGGGGUCUUGUUCAUGAGUGAAGGAAGGAUGGAGGGGGAGAUU